GAAACAUACGUGUAUUCUCUCCAUUUCCUGUGAUGUAAUGACACGAUUUGUUCAAAUGCAUUUGCUGCUCUCCCCUCUGGGUCUCUCUGACAAACAGCAAGAAAAGGACAGUCCUCUUUCUGCUAACAUCAGGGUUUGCUGCUCUACUGGCUUUGGUACCUACAACAAGGUGAACAAGCAUAUAUGGGAACAGGAAGAGCUCACAAUGGCCAGGGCUGUUUGGAAUUCUGAAGAAAGGUUUCACAGACCAGUUAACUGAACAUCGGAAUGUGCAACAAAAAUUCAAUGGCACUGCCUUGCUUGUUAGUCAACUAUCAGGCAUACAAAAAUUUAGCUUUCAGCAUAUUCUUCAAUUUUAUUCUUAUGAAGUUAUUCCAAGAAGGAUGGUCAGAAAAUGAAGUUAACGAGAAGUACUGCAUAGCAAAUUUAUUUCCAUUUACAGGAAAAUCGAUUCAGCAAAGAACAUUUUC